rnacentral:rRNA from 1 species
UACGUAGGGUGCGAGCGUUAUUCGGAAUUACUGGGCGUAAAGAGCGCGCAGGCGGCUUCGCAAGUCGGGUGUGAAAUCCCCGAGCUUAACUUGGGAAUUGCGCUCGAAACUACGGAGCUGGAGUGUGGCAGAGGAAGGUGGAAUUCCACGUGUAGCGGUGAAAUGCGUAGAGAUGUGGAGGAACACCGAUGGCGAAGGCAGCCUGCUGGGCCAACACUGACGCUCAUGCACGAAAGCGUGGGGAGCAAACAGG